GGGUGCGAUCAUACCAGUACUAAUGCACCGGAUCCCACCAGAACUCCGCAGUUAAGCGCUUGGGCGAGAAUAGUUCUAAGAUGGUCUUGUCUCAUGACUU
rnacentral:rRNA from 1 species